UCUCCAGGGCCAGGCCCUGCGCCCAGGGCCCGCAGCCGCUUCCUCGGGGGCCUGGGGCCAGCCGCGCCGCAGGGACGGUGGGUGGCUGGCUGAGAACCUCCCUGUGAGCCCGCAGUCGCCCGCGCUGCCGGGACAAAUGCCCUAGCCUGGCUGGUCAGCACAGCCCACUCGACUCCUCUCAGCUCUGGAGGCUGCAGUGUGCGCCCGGGGCGCCCGCCUGGCUGGGCUCUGCAGGGCCCCUUUCUGGUUUGCAGGUCACCGUUAUCUUGCCGUGUCCUCACGCGCGGAGAGAUGGAUUCUCUCUCUCGGGUCUCCACUGUGACGCACGAAGCGCAUUCGGGAGGGCUCCGCCCUCAUGACCUCAUCCCCUCCCAAAGUUCCCGCUUCCUAGUGCCACCGCGUGGGGGUUAGGGGUUCAAGACACGGAUUUUGGGGGGCCGCACAUCCAGACCACAGCAAGCCCUUCGUUCAGGAACGCUGCUCAUGGCCGUGACGAUUUUGAAUUGUCAUGGUUUUGAGUUCCACCGAGAUGAAAAUCAGGAAGACUCAACGAACAGCGUCGUUGCGGGUCGUGAUGCUCACGGGUACAAUGUGAUGCUGUGUCUGCACUGCGGGAUGAUGAAAUCAGGCAGAUCAACAUCCAUCCUCAACAAACCACCAAUAUUGACCAUGGGACAGUCAUGCACUUGACACGCUCUGAGAAACAGGCUGUGUGGCGAUUUCAUCGCUGUGCAAACAUCACAGAGUGAACUGACACAAGCCGGUGGGCUGGCCCGCCACACGCGUGGGCUAAGCCCACAAACCUGCGCAGGCUCCUGGACCGGAAACUGCAGGCAGCCGCGCCACGGCCGCAAGCCUGUGGCAUCCGAACACAUCCAAACACAGACAAGGCACUGUAAAAGCAGGACUCUGCAAUCUCAUGGGCCCACGGUCACGUCAGUCUGUCGCUGACGGAAGUGUCACUGCGUGGCACAGGACUGUGUGGCUGACCGAGUUCCUGCCCCGCGCGAGGUGCCAGGUUCACACUGACGCAGGAGGCAUCCUCUCUGCAUUUACGGGGCUCACAGCUCUUGGGAGAUGCUGGCAGCGAUUAAUCGAGCGGCUUUCAAGAGCGCCCAGUGUGCGUCCGGCCCUCUUCUGCACUUGUGCCAGGGACAAGCGUGCGAGGUGUGGCCUGCAUUAGGGUGGUGGCUUUGGAAACAGAGUGGACCGUUCUUCGGGGAUGGUGUUGCCUUUUGCUGAGCUGUUGGGGUGGGGAGGAGUUGAUGGCUUCAGAACAAUGAAUAAACAGGAGAGUAACUUUAUAACAGCA